GAAAAAGGAAACCAGAAAAAAAAAAAACAUCAACAAAGACUGGUAUCCUUUUUGGUUUACUUGCGCCCUCGUUCUCCGAUUUCUUCUUCUUUUUUU
rnacentral:ribozyme from 1 species